AGUGAACGCUGGCGGUAGGCCUAACACAUGCAGGUCGAACGGCAGCACAGUAAGAGCUUGCUCUUACGGGUGGCGAGUGGCGGAUGGGUGAGGAAUACAUCGGAAUCUACUUUUUCGUGGGGGAUAACGUAGGGAAACUUACGCUAAUACCGCAUACGACCUACGGGUGAAAGCAGGGGAUCUUCGGACCUUGCGCGAUUGAAUGAGCCGAUGUCGGAUUAGCUAGUUGGCGGGGUAAAGGCCCACCAAGGCGACGAUCCGUAGCUGGUCUGAGAGGAUGAUCAGCCACACUGGAACUGAGACACGGUCCAGACUCCUACGGGAGGCAGCAGUGGGGAAUAUUGGACAAUGGGCGCAAGCCUGAUCCAGCCAUACCGCGUGGGUGAAGAAGGCCUUCGGGUUGUAAAGCCCUUUUGUUGGGAAAGAAAAGCAGCAGGUUAAUACCCCGCUGUUCUGACGGUACCCAAAGAAUAAGCACCGGCUAACUUCGUG
rnacentral:rRNA from 1 species